rnacentral:rRNA from 1 species
CCUACGGGAGGCUGCAGUGGGGAAUAUUGCACAAUGGGCGCAAGCCUGAUGCAGCCAUGCCGCGUGUGUGAAGAAGGCCUUCGGGUUGUAAAGCACUUUCAGCGGGGAGGAAGGCGGUGAGGUUAAUAACCUCACCGAUUGACGUUACCCGCAGAAGAAGCACCGGCUAACUCCGUGCCAGCAGCCGCGGUAAUACGGAGGGUGCAAGCGUUAAUCGGAAUUACUGGGCGUAAAGCGCACGCAGGCGGUCUGUCAAGUCGGAUGUGAAAUGCCCGGGCUCAACCUGGGAACUGCAUUCGAAACUGGCAGGCUAGAGUCUUGUAGAGGGGGGUAGAAUUCCAGGUGUAGCGGUGAAAUGCGUAGAGAUCUGGAGGAAUACCGGUGGCGAAGGCGGCCCCCUGGACAAAGACUGACGCUCAGGUGCGAAAGCGUGGGGAGCAAACAGGAUUAGAUACCCGGGUAGUC